rnacentral:tRNA from 1 species
UGCCUGGUGGUGUAAUGGUAACACAUCGGCCUUUGGAGCCGCUAUUUCUGGUUCGAAUCCAGACCGGGCAG